rnacentral:lncRNA from 1 species
CGAGCAUCACAAAGGCAGACGGGAAGGGGGAAAACUUAAAUCGACGAAUCCCGGCCGGAAUCCCCGCCGGAAUGGAGCGAUUGAGAUGCGUGGAGGGAUGGAGGGGAGGGAGAUGGGGACGGAUGCAGACCUGGCGCUCUUGAAGUCGCGCAUGACCUCGAGGAACUCGUCGUACUUGGCGCGGUUGUCGUGGAACUUGUCCUUGACGGCCUUGAGGUAGGCGAGGGCGUCGUUGGUGGUGAGCUUCUGCGCGGAGAGCGCGGGCGACGCCGGCGGCGGAGACAUCCUCCCUCGCCGGCAGCGCUGGAUUCGGCGACGGGAUUAGAUCGGGGAGGGAGGGAUGGAGUUUGGGGAAACGGAGUUUUGGGGAAAUGGAAGGGAAGGGAGGCGCUCACGGAUCGGAUCGACGGAGGAGGCGGCCGGCGUCGGGCCGCGGCCCCGUGCGAGGACGGACGGACGGCGGGGCCGGUCAGCUCCUCCGCCGCCGGCCGGAUCUGCGCCGCGCAAACCCUAGCGGCGAAGCGGAGGGGAGCGAGCGGAGGAGGGAAACGCGAGGCGAUACGGAGAUGGGAGAAUGGGUUGGGAAACUGGGAUGGCAGGAAAUACGAACCAAACCCACUUCCACCCGGCGAGAGAGUGUGUUGUGUUGUGUUGUGUUGUGUGAUACCAUCCGUGUGGCCGCGGUGUUUCUUUCUCUUUCUCUUCUCGUGUGCUUGCUUCACCAAGUGAGAGCAGGCAGGCCGCGGUUGAUCUGGGCCGUCCGAUCGGGGGAUACGGCGGAUAAGCGGGCGGAUCCGGAUGUACAUGUGGGAUUAGGUCGGAUAUCGACGUGGGAGAACACAACACGGUGCAUGUGUGUGUGUGUGUGCUGGGAUGCCAUCUGUGGCUGCGGCAUGCGUCUUCCUCGUGCUUCUCCAGGCGUGCAGGCAGGACAUCCGCCACCGCCGAUGAUCUGAACUGUUCGGUCGGGGAUAAGACGGAUAAGCGGUUGGAUCUGGAUAUAUGUGCGGGGUUACGUCGGGUUCGUACAUGGUGGGGAGGUGGACCGACACGUCCCACCGUCGCCGAUCGAGGUCAUGCAGUCGGUGAGUAUUUUGUAGAGGAAGGAGUAAAUACGAACCAAACCUGACGAGGGGGUAGGAAAACAGAGUCUGUGUGUGUGAUACCAUCCGUGGCCGCGGUGUUUCUUUCUUUUGUGUGCUUCUUCAAGUGAGCAAGCAACAAAAACAUCGAAGGUCGCCGCUGGUCUGGGCCGUCCGAUCAUGGGAUACUGCGGAUAAUAGGUCAGAUCCGAAUGUACAUGUAGGAUUGUGCGGAAUACUAGCAUGAGAAAAACAAACAUAGAGAGCGUGUGUGACAUCAUCUGUGUGGCCGCGAUGUUUCUUUCUCAUGUGUGCUUCUCCAAGUGAGCAGGCAACAAAAACACCGUAGGUCGCCGCUGAUCUGGGCCGUCCGAUCAUGAGAUACCGCGGAUAACCGGUCGGAUCCGAAUGUAAUGUAGGAUUGGGCCGAAUACUAACGUGGGAAAACAAACAUUGUGUGUGUGAUAUCAUCCGUGUGGUCGUGGUGUUCCUUUCUCAUGUGCGCUUCCUCAAGUGAAAAGGGAACAAAAACACCGAAGGUCGCCGCUGAUCUGGGCUGUCCGAUCAUGGGAUAAUGCGGAUAACUGGUCGGAUCCAAAUGUACAUGUAGGAUUGGGCUGAAUACUAACAUGGGAAAACAAACAGAGAGAGACUGUGUGUGAUACCAUUCGUGUGGUCGCCGUGUUUCUUUCUCAUGUGUGCUUCUCCAAGCGAGCAGGCAGUGUUUUUUUUCUCAUGUGUGCUUCUCCAAACGAGCAGGCAACAAAAACACUGAAGGCCGCCGCUGAUAUGGGCCGUUCGAUGAUGGGAUACUGCAGAUAAUCGGUCAGAUCUGAAUGUAUAUGUAGGAUUGGACUGAAUACUAACGUGGGAAAACAAACAGAGAGUGUGUGUGUAUGAUACCAUCCGUGUGGCUGUGGUGUUUCUUACUCAUGUGUGCUUCUUCAAGUGAGCAGAUAACAAAACACCAAAGGCCGCCGCUAAUCUGUGUCGUCCGAUUAUGAGAUAGUGCGGAUAGUCGGUUAGAGCCGAAUGUACAUUUAGGAUCGGGCCGAAUGCUAACGUUGGAAAGCAAACAGUGUGUGUGUGUGUGUGAUAACAUUCGUGUGCCUCUUUCUCAUGUGUGCUUCUCCAAGUGAGUAGGCAAGAAAAACACCAAAGGCCGUUGUUGAUCUGGGCCGUUCGAUUAUAGGAUGCUACGGAUAACCGGUCGGAUUCGAAUGUACAUGUAGGAUUGGGCCGAAUACUAACACGGGAAAACAAGCAGAGAGUGUGUGUGUGAUACCAUUCGUGUGGCCGUGGUGUUUCUUUCUCAUGUGUGCUUCUCCAAGUGAGCAGGCAACAAAAAUAUCGAAGGCCGCCGCUGAUAUGGGCCGUUCGAUCAUGAGAUAUUGCGGAUAACUGGUCUGAAUGUACAUAUAGGAUUGGGCCGAAUAUUAACGUGGGAAAACAAAUAGAGAGUGUGUGUGAUAACAUCCGUUUGCCCGUGGUGUUUCUUUUCACGUGUGCUUCUCCAAGUGAGCAGGUAACAAAAACACCAAAGGCCGGCGCUGAUAUGGGCCGUCCGACCAUGGGAUACUGCCGAUAACCGGUCGGAUCUGAAUGUACAUGUAGGAUUGGGCCGAAUACUAACCUGGGAAAACAAACAGAGACUGUGUGUGUGAUACCAUCUGUGUGGUCGCGGCGCUUCUUUCUCAUGUGUGCUUCUCCAAGCGAGGAGGUAACAAAACACCAAACGUCGCCGCUGAUAUGGGUCGUCCGAUGAUGGGAUACUGCGGAUAACCGGUCGGAUCUGAAUGUACAUGUAGGAUUGGGUUGAAUACUAACGUGGGAAAACAAACAGAAAGUGUGUGUCUGAUACAAUCCAUGUGGCCGCGGUGUUUCUUUCCCAUGUGUCUUCUCCAAGUGAGCAGACAACAAAAACACCGAAGGCCGCCGCUGAUUUGGACCGUCGGUGAAGGAAAUAUGGCCUAGAGGCAAUAAUAAAAUUAUUAUUUUAUUUCCUUAUAUCAUGGUAAAUGUUUAUUAUUCAUGCUAGAAUUGUAUUUAACAGAAACUUGAUGCAUGUGUGAAUACAUAGACAAAACAAAGUGUCCCUUGUAUGCCUCUACUUGACUAACUCGUUAAUCAAAGAUAGUUAAGUUUUCUAGCCGUAGACAUGUGUUGUCAUUUAAUGAACGGGAUCACAUCAUUAGAGAAUGAUGUGAUUAACAAGACCCAUCUGUUAGCUUGGCAUAAUGAUCGUUUAGUUUUACACUACUAGGGAAAACCCUAGCAGUAGCACUGGUUUUGUGCUCACUAGUAGCGCGGGUGGGCGCGCUACUAAUAAGGCGCUACAGCUAUUGCUUAGCAGUAACGCGUGCCCGCACGCGCUACUGCUAGGACAAAUAGUUGCAGCGUUUGUUCAUUCCCACGCUACUGCUAAUGUAACUAGUGGCAGCGUGUUUUCUCUCCAUCGCUAUUAGUAUUCUUUUUUUAUUUUUUUAUUUUUAGUGUAUUUAUGCGCUAUCAUACAAAUAUUGGUACAAUACUAAUUAUGAGGUUUACAUCAUUAUGUCCAUAAUAGUGUGUCAAAUGAAGGUGGAUUAUGUUCAAGUGGAGGCAAUAUGUGGUGCAUGUCAAAAGUAUACUACUAAACCAAACUUGAUCUAGUUUGGCCUAGUAGUACUUUCGAUGUGCACCACAUGUUGCCUCCACUUGAAUCUAAUCCGCCAGCACAAGCUAUUUAAUUAUCAUCAUAGUCAUAACAUCAAUAGUAGUUAUUUAAUCAUUAUAGUCAUAGUGUAGCACAUCAUCAUCUUCAAACUCAUUCUAGCUAGCUAAUCACCACCAACACUAAUUGCGGUAGCUAUCUAAUCACCAGCAACACUAGCUAAUAAAAAUCAUUAGUCAUUGCCACCAACACUAGCUAAUUACUCCUGCUGCUCUUUUUCAGGUAAAAUAACAUAAAACAUGUGUAGCACUCGUUUUUCAUCAAGUUGGAGCAUGCAGAUGAACCUGUCUCCUAAUCGUGGGUUGCGCUUCUGAUUGCUGUCCCCUAGUACUUUUCUGCGAUCGUUCAUAAUUUUGCUCCAAUCUUUCACUAUUAAGCAUUCCUCGCUAUUAGAAAUCCUGAAUGCACUAAAGUGCAUUAUAGGAUAUCUUGGCCGUAAGCUAACAAUUCUCAUCUGACCUUUAGUCUUGAUCCAAUGAGGCACAACAUUCAGCGGGAGUCCCUGUUGAAGAACAUCGCAUAGUAACAUACUUAGCAAUGAAGUUUAGCUUAAAAAAUAAUGUAUGCGAAAGAUGCACUGAGUACAAAUAGUAAAAAUCUUACCAUCUUUCCUAAACAGAUGUGACCGUAGUUCAAUACGAACACUAUUGGUCGCACGUUUUGAGUAUUAAGAUUUGCAAGUCCAAAAAAUAAUUUGUCUUGACAGUAUGAAGAUCCUCAAGCCAUGAAACAUAAUGACUUAUCUCCUCGCAGUUUAGUUCAGCCCCGGGACAGUAGUAGGUCAUGUCUACCAAGCGCUGGACAUGUUUGCUUGAUUGGAAAUAAGCUGUCAAUAGAAAUUAGUUGUCAACUAUUUUUGAAUAAAUAAUAUCAAAGACAUAAAUAUGGUUGAGAAACUCACAUUUUGGUAGAACUUGAGGCGUCUGCACAUCGACCCAGAUGUCGGUAUUACCUUCAAUACCAUCUUCCGGACGAAUAUCAAAGGUGAUAACCAUAUCAGGCUCAAAUGCAUAAGUCUUGCAUAGUGCUCGCCAUGUUUUGCAUCCAAAAUAGGUGUAGUCGUCUUCGUUGUAUAAUUUUGCAUGAAAAAUAUAACCAUGCUCGGUCUUCAAAUAAACUCUCUUUACCUCCAUAGUAGUUGUCAUAGAACUGAAACCUAUCUUAUCCAAUACAAAAACUCUUGCAUGGCAGGGGAUACGCUAGUAGAAUAGUAAAAAAAUUAUAAGUUGAAGCAAAUGAAGCAUAUGCAAUGCUUAAUUACGAAAAAAGACUUGUCGUUGUGACUUACUGUAUCCACUUCGAAGUUCUCUCCAGCUUGAUGCUGAAGCGCCUAUCAUCAUCUAGAAAGAUUCCGUCGCACAGGCCGCGCUCGUCUUCGCAGUAUUUGCAAAUACCGAAAUCUUUUUCGUUGUCAGACAUUUCCUAUGUUUAUAGUUAAAACAUUAAUUGAAAAUCGAUCGAAGACAACUAUCAGGAUACUCAACACACAAAUCCGGGGCACUCGAUAUUUCCUACAUAUUCUGGCACAAGUCAUGCCAAAAUUCACGGGAAAAUCCGGCAUGACCUUUGCUAAAAUAGGACAUAUCGAGCGCCUGAAAUUUGUCGGAACGGAAAUGAAUCAACACUCCGGCAAAACAUAGGCCACUCGGAGGUGUAACCAGCAAACAUGACCGGCCACUUGGGCAAGCACAUAUCCUAUUUGAGCAACACAAGAUAAACAUUUCAAAAUAUCUUAUAGGACUCAAAUUAGCAUGCAUUCAAUAAGCAAAAGUAAAUCAUCUCAUGCGUCCGUACAUCGUCGAAUAUUAUCACUAAUACAUCCCGAAUAGUGUCAUACAUAUAACAUCACUAAUACAACUAAAACCUAGCACACGAUGGGUAUCGGCGCGGGCGGUGGACACCCACAGAGAAGGAACCAUCAUGGGAUCAUAGCUCCAGUAAGAUCCCUGGAGAACCUGCCAGGUAUUGGAGAACCUGUGCUCCAAUGCAAACAAGUAGCAACGGACGUGCGCGUCCUCCUCACUGACACGGUGACGCACCAUCUCCGCGGGGUCCUCAAGCCUCUGAACCAUCACUGGCCCACACGACCGCCACCAAAGAAGGUUCGGAUCAACGACAGGCUGGCUCCUCACCAACCUACGCCCCCGGUAGGUAGCGCCUCCCAGUACCACCCCGGCGGAGCCCAGUCCCAGACAUGGCCCGUCUGGUCAAGCAGGUGUCGUCCUCCGCCGACUCGACGAUGAGGAUGCGGGAUAGGCAUCGUCCACGUCGAUGCGGGAAAAAUUGCUUUAACUAAAAAAUAGCAACAAGUUCUUACUAACUAGUUCUAUUAAUUCAAUUAGUUCUUACUAAAAAUAAACUUACUAUAAAUAAAAAUAAACUAGUACCUAAUUAGUACCUAAUUCUUACUAACUAAUUAGUACCUAGGAACUACUGCCUAAAUUACCAUAUAAGUAUCCAUUUUUAACUAGGGUUCGUACUACCUAAUUAAAUAGGGUUAAUACUAAUUGUAAUUAACUAACUAGCACUAAAAAUAGCCUAGGGUUCAUACUAACUAGCACUAAAUAGCUGGGGUUCAUACUAAGCAGAGAAGAGGGAUCGGAAGGGGAGAGUGCUUACAGAGGACGGGGAGAGAGAUGGAGUCGGGGAGACGGUGGCACCGAGGCGCGGCGAGGCGGGGUCGGGGGAGACGGCGGCGAGGCAGGGUUAGGGGAGAUGGCGGUGAGGCGGGUCGAGGGAGACGGCGGCGGAGAGCGAGGGGGCAGGGGCUCCGGCAAGGUCGAGGUCAAGGAGGAGGAGGCACAGGCGCGCGACGAUGUCGAGGGGCAGACUCUGGUGGAGAGCGAGUGCAGGGCCUCCGGCGAGGGCGAGGGGAGGGGCUCCGGUGGAGGAGAUGAGGGGGAGAAGAGAGAGUAGGGAAUUGGGGGAGGAAGCAGAGGGGAGGGAAUCAGGCCGCGCGGGAGGUUAGGUGAAAAUAGCUUUAAAAGUAGCGUGGGGAGCGAAAACGCGCUGUUGCUAAAAUCCGUAGUAGUAGCGCUAUUUCUAGAAGGAUGCUACUACUAUACCUAGCACGUCAGGAACGGUGUGGCAAUUAUAGUAGUAGCGCGUUCUUUUCCUGCCGCGCUACUGCUAAGCGGGUAACAGUAGCACCGUUUUAGCGGACGCGCUACAACUAAGUAGCAGUAGCGCCUUAUUUUAACACGCGCUACUGGUAAGAUUCUGUGUAUAAGGUUUUCCCUAGUAGUGUUAUUGCUAUUGCUUUCUUCAUGACUUAUACAUGUUCCUUUGACUAUGAGAUUAUGCAACUCCCAAAUACCGGAGGAACACCUUGUGUGCUAUCAAACGUCACAACGUAACUAGGUGAUUAUAGAGAUGCUCUACAGGUGUCUCCAAAGGUGUUUGUUGGAUUGGCAUAGAUUGAGAUUAGGAUUUGUCACUCCGAGUAUCGGAGAGGUAUCUUUGCCGGAAUCAUGGCAGAUGGGAAGGGGGAAAAACUUAAAUCGACGAAUCCCGGUCGGAAUCAUUGCCGGAAUGGAGCGAUUUGAGAUGCGGGGAGGGGAAGGAAGAUGCAGACCUGGCGCUCUUGAAGUCGCGCAUGACCUCGAGGAACUCGUCGUACUUGGCUGGUUGUCGUGGAACUUGUCCUUGACGGCCUUGAGGUAGGCGAGGGCGUCGUUGGUGGUGAGCUUCUGC